AACGAACGCUGGCGGCAUGCCUAACACAUGCAAGUCGAACGCGUGUAGCAAUACACGAGUGGCGGACGGGUGAGUAACGCGUGGGAACCUGCCCAAUGGUAGGGAAUAACUGCGGGAAACUGCAGCUAAUACCCUAUGCUCCCUACGGGGGAAAGAUUUAUCGCCAUUGGAGGGGCCCGCGUCGGAUUAGCUAGUUGGCGGGGUAACGGCCCACCAAGGCUACGAUCCGUAGCUGGUCUGAGAGGAUGAUCAGCCACACUGGGACUGAGAUACGGCCCAGACUCCUACGGGAGGCAGCAGUGGGGAAUAUUGGACAAUGGGGGAAACCCUGAUCCAGCAAUGCCGCGUGAGUGAAGAAGGCCUUAGGGUUGUAAAGCUCUUUCGGCGGGACGAUGGUGACGGUACCCGCAGAAG
rnacentral:rRNA from 1 species